GGGUGCAAUCAUACCAGCACUAAUGCACCGGAUCCCAUCAGAACUCCGCAGUUAAGCGCGCUUGGGCGAGAGUAGUACUAGGAUGGGUGACCUCCUGGGAAGUCCUCGUGUUGCAUCCC
rnacentral:rRNA from 1 species